rnacentral:rRNA from 1 species
AUGGACGGCGGCUCCGGCUCCUCCUUCCAGGCCGUAGCGGCGGCCGCCGCCAUGGAGAUGGAGGAGUACCUCAACUGGAAGAAGAACGCGCCGGUGCUCUACGACCUCGUCAUGUCCCACCCGCUCGAGUGGCCCUCGCUCACCGUCCAGUGGCUCCCCUCGGGGUCGCCGGCCUCCGCCCGCUCCCACCGCCUCGUCCUCGGCACCCACGCCUCCGACGACUCCGCCAACCACCUCAUGCUCGUCGACGCCGUGCUCCCGCUCCCGCCGCGCCUGGCCGCCGCGGCCGCCGCCGAGGACCGCGCCGUCCCGGCCCCGUCCGUGUCCAUCGGCCGCUCGGCGCCGCAUCAGGGCGAGGUCAACCGCGCCCGGUGCAUGCCGCAGCGGCCGUACACCGUGGCCACCAAGACCUGCGUCGAUGAGGUGCACGUGUACCACCUCGGGGAGGACGGUGAGAAGGGCGGCGCGGAUGUCGUGCUCAGGGGCCAUGGCGCGGAGGGGUAUGGGCUGGCGUGGAGCGCCACGAAGGAGGGGUUCCUGCUGAGCGGCUCGUAUGAUAAGAAGAUUUGCCUGUGGGAUCUCAAGGCCGGGAAUGGAGCCCCGGUUCUGGACGCGCAGCAGGUGUUUGAGGCUCAUGAGGAUGUUGUUGAAGAUGUUGCUUGGCACCUUAAGGAUGAAAACCUAUUUGGAUCUGUUGGCGAUGACUGCAAGUUCAUGAUGUGGGACCUGCGUACGAACAAACCAGAACAAUCUAUAGUUGCGCACCAAAAGGAAGUUAACUCUCUGUCCUUCAAUCCAUUUAAUGAAUGGAUCUUGGCUACAGCAUCUGGUGAUGGAACUAUUAAGCUGUUUGACCAGCGAAAACUAUCUAGAAGCUUGCAUGCUUUCGACAACCAUGAGGGCGAGGUUUUCCAGGUUGAGUGGAAUCCAAACAUGGAGACUGUAUUAGCAUCCCAUGCUGCAGACAAAAGGGUGAUGAUAUGGGACGUUAGCAGGAUCGGCGAGGAGCAGGCGGACGAGGACGCGGGCGACGGGCCACCGGAGCUGCUUUUCGUCCACGGCGGGCACACGGCCAAGAUCUCGGAGCUGUCGUGGAACCCCAGCGAGAAGUGGGUGGUGGCCAGCGUGGCGGAGGACAACGUGCUGCAGAUCUGGGAGAUGGCCGAGAGCAUAUACAGCGACGACAACAGCAACAACGCCAACAGCGCCUCGUGCCUGUCCACAUAA